AACGAACGCUGGCGGCAUGCCUAACACAUGCAAGUCGAACGAAGGCUUCGGCCUUAGUGGCGCACGGGUGCGUAACGCGUGGGAAUCUGCCCAAAGGUUCGGAAUAACUCAGGGAAACUUGAGCUAAUACCGGAUGAUGUCGCAAGACCAAAGAUUUAUCGCCUUUGGAUGAGCCCGCGUAGGAUUAGCUUGUUGGUGGGGUAAUGGCCCACCAAGGCGACGAUCCUUAGCUGGUCUGAGAGGAUGAUCAGCCACACUGGGACUGAGACACGGCCCAGACUCCUACGGGAGGCAGCAGUGGGGAAUAUUGGACAAUGGGCGAAAGCCUGAUCCAGCAAUGCCGCGUGAGUGAUGAAGGCCUUAGGGUUGUAAAGCUCUUUUACCCGGGAUGAUAAUGACAGUACCGGGAGAAUAAGCUCCGGCUAACUCCGUGCCAGCAGCCGCGGUAAUACGGAGGGAGCUAGCGUUGUUCGGAAUUACUGGGCGUAAAGCGCACG
rnacentral:rRNA from 1 species